rnacentral:rRNA from 1 species
AUUGAACGCUGGCGGCAUGCCUUACACAUGCAAGUCGAACGGCAGCGCGUCCUUCGGGAUGGCGGCGAGUGGCGAACGGGUGAGUAAAGCAUCGGAACGUGCCCGGUAGUGCGGGAUAGCUCGGCGAAAGCCGGAUUAAUACCGCAUGAGAUCCGAGGAUGAAAGCAGGGGACCCGCAAGGGCCUUGCGCUACUGGAGCGGCCGAUGUCAGAUUAGGUAGUUGGUGAGGUAAAGGCUCACCAAGCCUGCGAUCUGUAGCUGGUCUGAGAGGAUGAUCAGCCACAUCGGGACUGAGACACGGCCCGAACUCCUACGGGAGGCAGCAGUGGGGAAUUUUGGACAAUGGGCGCAAGCCUGAUCCAGCCAUGCCGCGUGCAGGAUGAAGGCCUUCGGGUUGUAAACUGCUUUUGUACGGAACG